rnacentral:rRNA from 1 species
UAUAUGGAUUCUAGAAAAUGUUAUAGGAAAUAUUUGUUAUAUAGAAAAAACUGAUAAUCUUAAUAAAUUUCUAAAAAAUGUAUAACAUUAUCACUAUUCAAUCAAUAUACAGGAAAAUUUAGAAAAUAAUUCCUAGAAGCUGUAAAGCUUAUUUUAUUUUGAAAACUAUAUUCAAAUUUUAAGAAUAUAAUCUGUUAUUUCUUUUAUAUAAGGUAAAUUCAAAUUCAUAUGUAGCUUAGAAUUUAUUAAUAUAAAAUAAAAAUAAAAAAAUAUUGACACGUAAAAGAAUAUAUGAUAAAUUAUUAAAUGUUGUCGCAACAAAUCAAAUCACACAAAAUAAAAAAAUAAAAAAGUGAUUGACAACAAGAAAUAAAAAUGAUAAGAUGAUUAAGUCGCUAAAACGACAACAAGUCAUAUUGACCUUUGAAAACUAAACAGCACAAGAAAUGACAAGCAAAAACAUGCAAAAUGCCAAAAUGAUAUUUUGAGCAAGAAGCNAGCGAACAGGAUUAGAUACCCUGGUAGUCCACGCCGUAAACGAUGAGUGCUAGGUGUCGGGGGUUACCCCCCUCGGUGCCGCAGUUAACGCAAUAAGCACUCCGCCUGGGGAGUACGGUCGCAAGACUGAAACUCAAAGGAAUUGACGGGGACCCGCACAAGCAGCGGAGCAUGUGGUUUAAUUCGAAGCAACGCGAAGAACCUUACCAGGACUUGACAUCCUCUGCAUUACCCUUAAUCGGGGAAAUCCCUUCGGGGACAGAGAGACAGGUGGUGCAUGGUUGUCGUCAGCUCGUGUCGUGAGAUGUUGGGUUAAGUCCCGCAACGAGCGCAACCCUUGUCUUUAGUUGCCAGCACUUUGGGUGGGCACUCUAAAGAGACCGCCGAGGAUAACUCGGAGGAAGGUGGGGAUGACGUCAAAUCAUCAUGCCCCUUAUGUUCUGGGCUACACACGUGCUACAAUGGCUGGUACAACGGGUAGCGAAAGAGUAAUCUGGAGCCAAUCUUAAAAGCCAGUCUCAGUUCGGAUUGUGGGCUGCAACUCGCCCACAUGAAGCUGGAGUUGCUAGUAAUCGCGGAUCAGAAUGUCGCGGUGAAUGCGUUCCCGGGUCUUGUACACACCGCCCGUCACACCAUGGGAGUUGGGGGCACCCGAAGUCAGCGAUCUAACCGCAAGGAAGAAGCUGCCGAAGGUGAAAUCAAUAACUAGGGUGAAGUCGUAACAAGGUAGCCGUAUCGGAAGGUGCGGCUG